CAGCAGCCACGGGAAUACGGAGGGUGCAAGCGUUAAUCGGAAUUACUGGGCGUAAAGCGCACGCAGGCGGUCUGACAAGUCAGAUGUGAAAUCCCCGGGCUUAACCUGGGAACUGCAUUUGAAACUGUCAGGCUGGAGUCUUGUAGAGGGGGGUAGAAUUCCAGGUGUAGCGGUGAAAUGCGUAGAGAUCUGGAGGAAUACCGGUGGCGAAGGCGGCCCCCUGGACAAAGACUGACGCUCAGGUGCGAAAGCGUGGGGAGCAAACAGGAUUAGAUACCCGAGUAGUCCCUGUCUCUUAUAC
rnacentral:rRNA from 1 species